rnacentral:rRNA from 1 species
UACAGAGGGGGCAAGCGUUAUUCGGAAUUAUUGGGCGUAAAGGGCGCGUAGGCGGCCUGGCAAGUGGAAGGUGAAAUCCCUCGGCUUAACCGAGGAACUGCCCUCCAAACUGCUUGGCUUGAGUCCGGGAGAGGUGAGUGGAAUUCCCAGUGUAGCGGUGAAAUGCGUAGAUAUUGGGAGGAACACCAGUGGUGAAGGCGGCUCACUGGACCGGAACUGACGCUGAGGCGCGAAAGCGUGGGGAGCAAACGGG